ACAUUGAGGAGUGCUGCGGUUCCACACUGAAGCUACUAAUCCAUUUAUUGUUUUUCUUACAGUUUGGGAAAUGGCGAAGCUUUUCCAACUCGCAUUGUUUCAGGGGACCCUGAGCAAAAUGCUGGGAUGAACCAAGAUGACAUCCCCAAACACUCUGGUUCCACGUAGGCAUCCUCUGCCAGACCUCUCAGCGAGCUCCAGAAAUGGGCAAAAGUUAUGUUAUAGAAGACCUUCCAACGGGGAUUAGGCACCAACAUUUCUCGUUGUGGACAUUUACUCGGGUCUGUGAUGGACGAUUUAACAACGUUCUAUGGAUCU